UACGUAGGGGGCUAGCGUUGUCCGGAAUCAUUGGGCGUAAAGCGCGUGUAGGCGGCCCGGUAAGUCCGCUGUGAAAGUCGGGGGCUCAACCCUCGAAAGCCGGUGGAUACUGUCGGGCUAGAGUACGGAAGAGGCGAGUGGAAUUCCUGGUGUAGCGGUGAAAUGCGCAGAUAUCAGGAGGAACACCGAUUGCGAAGGCAGCUCGCUGGGACGUUACUGACGCUGAGACGCGAAAGCGUGGGGAGCAAACAGG
rnacentral:rRNA from 1 species